AUUCCAUAUUUGAUAUUGUCUGUGUAUGCCUACUUCAGCCAACAUUGUGUUUUUUCUAGACCCAUGGUGACUGGUAUGAUCUCUAUUUCUAUUGGACUUGUUCAAUUUCCCAAUAGUUACAUCCCAUAUUUACAAGCUGGAGAGAUUGAAACAUUUUUUAUAACAUCUUAUCUAUUAAAACUCCAUGUCGUUUGCUCCACCAGGGGCUUCCAGUGCGCUUUUUUCCCUCGAUCUCGUGUGAUCUGAGUGUGAGAAGGCUUAUAGUGUGCUUGAGGUUCUUCGACCUCUCUAUAAUUCCCCUAAGAUACUGGAACAAAAGGUAACUGUUGCGAUAUAUGUCAAUCUUCAAUUUCGUUGUCGCUUAGCAGUUGUUGGGCUUUGGUACCCGGUCUGUAAUUUUGCUGAUGCACCAGCGACACAUAUUUAUCAUUGUUUAUUUUUUAAUCAAUAACAAAGCACAGGUACAAUAUAAUCUUAUAUAGCUUUUAAGGUAUGUAAACAUCCACUUUAGUGAUGCUAACAAAUGUAUAAAAUAAUAAUUAUUGUUUUUCAUAGCAAUAUAUUUUAUCAUAUUACAUCUUAGUUCAUGCUACCUGGAUGUAAAUGUGGUGCGGUUUAGUUUAGUAAGAUCUUCACUAAUCACUACAUAGUGCAGCACUGGGCUGUUAAUAUUUUUUGUACCAUGUGUCAUAAGCAUGAGAGGUUGCCUGUAGAGUACCGAUGCUUUAUUGCAGUCUUCCUCCUCGUCUGCCCCAAUGUCGGCAAGUCAGCCCUCUUCAACAGAUUCUAGAUGAUGGUACGACAAAUUAUUUUAGGAGUGCUUUGACAUAAUUUAAAGCUUGGAAGGGAGCUUUCUAUGAUUUAUUUUCCUGACUGUUUCGUCACAUGUUCUUUCCCUAGAUGAAAGUAUUGAUUUAUUUUUGGUUCUGCAGGAUCAUUGCGUCUCUGCGAGCUAAUCAGUUCUGUGAGCGUCUCCCUAGCCCCAAUGGCGAGUCAAUUGUUGAUUGCCAUCAGAUCUCAAAGAUGCCAAAUCUUGCAUUCACCAUAGCAAACAAGAUUUUCACCUUAACACCAGAGCAGUACAUAGUGAAGUUGGAGCAAGCAGGACAAACUAUCUGCAUCAGUGGGUUUAUGGCAUUUGACGUACCGCCUCCUCGUGGUCCUCUCUGCUACGCUGAACAUAUCUGUACUACUCUUAAGUGUGCAAUGAGGGCGUCCACCGAGGGAAUCACCGUGCCCCCGCUCGCCCCCUCCACGCCCGUGCAUGUCUGCGUCCGCCCCCUUCGUCUCCCCGCAAUGGACGCGUCCCUACCUCAUGUCUACAACGACAACUAGGAGCUUUUGAUGGUGAGGACUAAGGAGGCAGCAGCCCACACCUAUGAUCUUGCAGCGCUCAAGUACAGGGAAUCAGACUGCAAACUGAACUUCCCACAGCUAGCCGCGAGUGACUGUGGGUGAAGCUCCUACGGGCGGAUUUUGGCGUGAAGCGCCUCCGCCUGCACGGCCACAUCGAGGGCUCAAUCGACGACGCCAGGGCCAAGCCUAAGGUGGAAGAUCUGGUGGUGCCAACUAGCAGCUAUGGCGCCAUCGUACGCCAGCGUCAUGUUCCGCGCUCAGCCACUCCAGGAGGACGGCCGCUCCACGCACGCCCUCCGCCUUUGCGCCUUCUUCUCUCUAACCCAGGGCUAGUGCCCUCCCCAUCCACCUUGCCAUCCACCUGUUCGAAAGGGAAUGGGUCUGGGCUGGUCAGACUUCCAUGGUCUAACCCAGGGCCGCGGAUGAGCUCACCGAGCAGCAGGCCAGGCAGCUCAACUUCGACCUCGAUUCGGCCUACAGUGCCUUCUUGGCUGCGCUGCCCGCUGCUGGUCUGUAACCGAGCAAGGAUCUACCAGCUUGAUUUUUAUUUGGUUGGUUCGGUCUAUUAUGCUUUUGACACUGGAGCACUACUCUCCACUACUGUAGUACUAUAGAUAUCUGUAAUUUCGGUACUGCUAUUUGUUGUCAAUAAGAAAGUUUUGUUUUCCUUUGUAUACAGUAAAUAUGUUUAUUGCAUGG